GUUUGAUCAUGGCUCAGGAUGAACGCUGGCGGCGUGCUUAACACAUGCAAGUCGAACGAACCUUCGGGUUAGUGGCGGACGGGUGAGUAACGCGUGAGAAUCUGCCCUCAGGAGGGGGAUAACGGUUGGAAACGACCGCUAAUACCCCAUAUGCCUAUUGGUGAAAUGAAUUUCGCCUGAGGAUGAGCUCGCGUCUGAUUAGCUAGUUGGUGAGGUAAUGGCUCACCAAGGCUUCGAUCAGUAGCUGGUCUGAGAGGAUGAUCAGCCACACUGGGACUGAGACACGGCCCAGACUCCUACGGGAGGCAGCAGUGGGGAAUUUUCCGCAAUGGGCGAAAGCCUGACGGAGCAACGCCGCGUGAGGGACGAAGGCCUCUGGGCUGUAAACCUCUUUUCUCAAGGAAGAAGAUAUGACGGUACUUGAGGAAUAAGCCACGGCUAAUUCCGUGCCAGCAGCCGCGGUAAUACGGGAGUGGCAAGCGUUAUCCGGAAUUAUUGGGCGUAAAGCGUCCGCAGGCGGCUUUUCAAGUCUGCUGUUAAAGCGUGGAGCUUAACUCCAUCAUGGCAGUGGAAACUGAAAGGCUUGAGUAUGGUAGGGGCAGAGGGAAUUCCCGGUGUAGCGGUGAAAUGCGUAGAUAUCGGGAAGAACACCAGUGGCGAAGGCGCUCUGCUGGGCCAUUACUGACGCUCAUGGACGAAAGCCAGGGGAGCGAAAGGGAUUAGAUACCCCUGUAGUCCUGGCCGUAAACGAUGAACACUAGGUGUCGGGGGAAUCGACCCCUUCGGUGUCGUAGCUAACGCGUUAAGUGUUCCGCCUGGGGAGUACGCACGCAAGUGUGAAACUCAAAGGAAUUGACAGGGGCCCGCACAAGCGGUGGAGUAUGUGGUUUAAUUCGAUGCAACGCGAAGAACCUUACCAGGGUUUGACAUCCUGCGAACCUCUUAGAAAUUUGAGGGUGCCUUCGGGAAUGCAGUGACAGGUGGUGCAUGGCUGUCGUCAGCUCGUGUCGUGAGAUGUUGGGUUAAGUCCCGCAACGAGCGCAACCCACGUUUUUAGUUGCCAGCAUUUAGUUGGGCACUCUAGAAAGACCGCCGGUGAUAAACCGGAGGAAGGUGUGGAUGACGUCAAGUCAUCAUGCCCCUUACACCCUGGGCUACACACGUACUACAAUGCUACGGACAAAGGGCAGCAAACUCGCGAGAGCUAGCAAAUCCCAUAAACCGUGGCUCAGUUCAGAUCGUAGGCUGCAACUCGCCUACGUGAAGUAGGAAUCGCUAGUAAUCGCAGGUCAGCAUACUGCGGUGAAUACGUUCCCGGGCCUUGUACACACCGCCCGUCACACCAUGGAAGUUGGCCAUGCCCGAAGUCGUUACUCCAACCCUUGUGGAGGAGGACGCCGAAGGUGGGGCUAAUGACUGGGGUGAAGUCGUAACAAGGUAACCGUA
rnacentral:rRNA from 1 species